UGUGUUUACCUACAGUGCCCUAAUAAGAAAUCUACAGUUUAUACAAUAAUAGAACAUUCGAAUAAGAUAGCGUUCAUAGGAACACCUUUAUGUUACGGGCGCUGAUAAGAAAAUGUUCUGACAACCUACACCGUAUUUAUGUUUUUUACAAUGUGCUACUUGAAUCUAAAACUAUCAAACGUUUUAUAAAUAAGUACGUAACGACAUAUUGCAAGUUUCAAAGAUGAACACCCCUACACAGCUGGUUCAAGGUCAUCAUACAAGUUCAGAGAAGGGAAGAACUGUGAUACCCCUUCAGUUCGAGGAUGGAGAAAUGGGGUUCCGCUUUCAUUCUUAGGACCUUACAGAAAUCAAUAACAGGAAAUUCGACAUAACUUCAUUCAUAUUCAUGCAUCUAUUUGUCUGAUAACAUGAUGGAAAUUUUUGGAAGACUACAUAGUUCAGCUGGUAUCUACAUACAUCGGUUUCCCUUCCAGUGGCAUAAUCACAACAUUACUUUAUGGGCCAAUAAAUUAAACAAAUUUAUUUGCGAAGACUCUGAGAGAAUUUAAAUGAAGCAUUUAAAAAUUUA